rnacentral:rRNA from 1 species
CUACGUGCCAGCAGCCGCGGUAAUACGGAGGGUGCGAGCGUUAAUCGGAAUAACUGGGCGUAAAGGGCACGCAGGCGGACUUUUAAGUGAGGUGUGAAAUCCCCGGGCUUAACCUGGGAAUUGCAUUUCAGACUGGGUAGCUAGAGUACUUUAGGGAGGGGUAGAAUUCCACGUGUAGCGGUGAAAUGCGUAGAGAUGUGGAGGAAUACCGAAGGCGAAGGCAGCCCCUUGGGAAUGUACUGACGCUCAUGUGCGAAAGCGUGGGGAGCAAACAGGAUUAGAUACCCUGGUAGUCCACGCUGUAAACGCUGUCGAUUUGGGGAUUGGGCUUUAAGCUUGGUGCCCGUAGCUAACGUGAUAAAUCGACCGCCUGGGGAGUACGGCCGCAAGGUUAAAACUCAAAUGAAUUGACGGGGGCCCGCACAAGCGGUGGAGCAUGUGGUUUAAUUCGAUGCAACGCGAAGAACCUUACCUACUCUUGACAUCCAUGGAAUUCUGUAGAGAUACGGGAGUGC